rnacentral:rRNA from 1 species
UACGUAGGGUGCGAGCGUUAAUCGGAAUUACUGGGCGUAAAGCGUGCGCAGGCGGUUUUGUAAGCCAGAUGUGAAAUCCCCGGGCUCAACCUGGGAACUGCAUUUGUGACUGUAGAGCUGGAGUGCGGCAGAGGGGGAUGGAAUUCCGCGUGUAGCAGUGAAAUGCGUAGAUAUGCGGAGGAACACCGAUGGCGAAGGCAAUCCCCUGGGCCUGUACUGACGCUCAUGCACGAAAGCGUGGGGAGCAAACAGG